UAAUAAUUGUGAACUACUACAUCUAGAACAAGGAUCCUGCAAUACCAAAGAAGGGAAAAAGAUUCAGCACCUUUAGGCAGCUCUGAGCUUCAGUUGUGCUGUUUGCAGACUUAACAAGCAUCCAGAAGCAAAUAGUGUCGAAGAAUCUCAGAGAAUGGGUAGCAAACAGAUCGACCAUCAAAGUAAGGUGGGCUCCUUAAAGUCAUUCUCAGAGAAAAAUUCUUUCCAUUUCAUCACAUACAUGAAAGAAAAAAGAGAUACAAUGGCAGAUAUAAUUUCGCUGGAAUACAAUCAAAAGAACACAGUCAAUAUUAGGCUAGUCAACUAUGGAAGGCCGAAGGCCCUCCUGCAAUCGCUCAAAUUGACUCACGUACUGAAGAAAGUUGCUGUAGAGGCAGAGAUUUCCUACAAAUGCCAAGAAUAUUAAAAGGAGAAUGCCACCAUUCAGAUAGAUACCAAGCAUUCUCAAAUCACACAUUCUGAGAAACUUUCAUUGUGCACAACACACUAUCAGGAUCAUUUAUCAUGUUACUCACAUAACAUCGAACUAAUGCUUUUGGUGUUUAAGUUCUUCAAUACUGCUUGUUAAAUCUCACUAAGAACCUUCCUUCCAUGGACAGUUUAUCAGUUUUGUA